GGCUUAUGAUGCAGACAAGCUGAUGAUAAUAUGGAGUGCCACAUUCGAGAAGCCUGGACUGUCGCCCGGCAGCCCGGAGGCUGAGGGCCUUGCACAAAGCCCCUGAAGACAGAAAUCUGAUUCCUGCCAGCAAGAAGAGACCUCCUAAAGCUGUGACUUCUUCCUCCGGCUCCUGCCCCUCCCCCUUCCAAGGAAGUCACAUGGGUGGGGGUGGGGAAUCAGCCACCCUUUCUGAGGAAUGUUCUCUCCUGGGAGGAGGAGAACUCCCAGAGCCUCCGUGUUGUGAUGGGCAGGUGGGCAGAGGCUGGGUCCUUCAGUUGGGGACUUUCAGUGGCCCCUGUUGUGGAUGUGACCCCAGGCUAGGUUUACUGUGCCCAGCUGGACAGGACACUAGGGGAGAUGGUAGUGGAAGCGGAGGGGGGUGCGGGCUGUAAACAAAGCAGACAGAGUCCGUUGAGUCGGAGAAACAGCGUCAUGCCCGUGAGAACCGAGCAGGUGGGAAGUGGUGGCUGGGGAGCCGGUCAGAGACAGAAGACCUGGCAGAGUAGAAGGUCUGGGCAAGAAACAGGGGCCCUAGAUGCAAAAGCAAGGGGAGCCCCAGGCCCUGUGGCGCUGCACGUGGCGGGGAAAGGUAGCUGUCAGGACCCGGGGGGGGGCAAGGGGGGGACAGCACAGAGGAAGAGGAAGGGGAAGAGGAAGAGGAAGAAGGGGCUCAGAAAGAAAGGAAAGAGCAGGGAGGUGAGGAAUACGCCUUGAGCACCUCAGCCAGGCCCUAGGCUAAGGAGUGUUCCUUUAAUCCUGCAAACAUCUCUCCGAGGUGGGUGUUAGAGCUCCCCCCAAACAGGAAGGUGAGGCCCAGCCAGCAUCUGUGACCCGCCCCAGUUCUUAGGCUGCAAGUAUCCAGCUGUCACCCCAGGCCUUCUGUCCGCCAGUCAUCAGACCGGCAGACCCAUGGAGAAGAGCCCCGUGCCUUUGCAGAGCGAGCGCAGCCUCACAGGAACUCCCCUGCUGCCUGACAUGAUGCAGGCCAACACUGCCUCACAUGACUUGUAGAUAUUUUCACUUAUUUACUUCUUCUAACUCAGCCAAGAACUUCAAGGGAGCAUCAUUCCUGGAGGAUUUGUUCAUCAAUGUGUCACAGUCUAGCUACUGAGUCCAUGGGCAGGAAGGAAAUGGGCAGGUUCAGAGACCCAAACAUCUGUCCCCCGUGUGUCUUGUAACGUUGGGGAGCUGGGACUCCCCCAGCCCUUGGCUGGCACCCUUGGCUGCCCUUCAUUUGGGGUGGGAGAAACGCCAGCCGGAGACACAUCCAAGGUGGGAAAGGGUUCCAAGAGCUCGGGCCUGUGGUGGGACCAGGGGCUGCACCAUCUUCCCCAGUGCUUCUUGCCACUCUGGGAGGAGGAGGCUGCCAGGUUGCUGGCCCUCCAACAGGGUGCCUCCCUGGGUGCACCCCACAAAACAUGGAAGUCACUUUCCCUGUGAGGAUGAAAAACCAGGGCGCAGAGCAAGUGCUACAUGCUGGGCAAGCGGAGAGCUGUGUUAGUCCGGGGACCUGCUGGCCUGGCUCACACGGCCAGCCCAGGGGGCGCUGGCCUGAGAUUUGCACUGGUCUCAGGGGCGCACCUGGUUCCGCUCCAGUCCCGAGAGCAGCACUUGUGCCUCUCCUCCAAGUCUCCACCGGUUUGAAGCCCCGUUCCGUCCCGCUAUGGCUUUUUCCCUCCUUCUUUCCCCCCUUCUUCUUUAGAGCUGGGUCGGGGCGGGGGGGAGGGGCGUGGGGCGGGUUGGGAGAGCAAAGGUGGAGAUGUGCUGUUUUGCACAAGUGACUUGCCUGCACGUCAUCCAAAAGCCGCGUUCCGUUCACAGAGGAAGUGAGAGGUGUCCGAUUCGGUCACGCAGAACGCAGCUGGGCGGCUUGAAGCGAAACACAGUGGCCACUCUGAAGGAGGUGUUGUCCCUGGGCUGCUACAGGGUUGAGUCACAGCAGGCGCCACUCCCACGUCAAAAAUACCGGGCCAUUGUCCCAGGGAGGUGGGCCCCUCGCUCAGGUCAUUUCCGAUCCACUCCCUGGAAUCACGUUAAAGGAAAGGGGAGCCGAGGAAAAGCAGCAGAAACCCGGAUGGCUCAGCAGGCCGAGAAAGGGGAGAGCAGCCCCUGAUGUGGGAUUCCCACCGCCACCCCUCUGGGUCAUCUCCCCCCUGGUCACAUCCAGGACCAGGACCCGGGAGCCGACUGCGGUUGUGUGGCAUCCAAAGACCAAGAACUGGGGGGGCAUUCCUUAAUAAAAAGAACACAACAUUCUGAAAACCAAGUUAAGGACAAAAGUGAGUAUUUAGUUAGUUGCGGGGGCGGGGAUUUGAUGUCAGCGGUGAAUUGCGGACAUCCCACAGAUGCAGGGCUGUUUCCUCAGAGACCUCCUUAACCAGGUUAUCAGAAAUGCAAAUGUAGAAACACUUCCUGUUUGUACCCUGAGCCCCUUCCCUGCCUGGGACACUCCCAGCCUCUCGAGGCUCUGAGAGCCCCAGAAGCCAGUGUCUUGUCAACCUUACGGUAAGUGCUCCUCCGAAAAGACCUCAGCGUUGACAAUCCGACAACUGCGGGAACGGGUAAGCACACAGACAUCGCCCAGCACAGCUGCUCCUGACCAUUCUGGGGGGCCUGGUCUCCUUUGAGAAUGGAAUGACAACUAUGGACCCUCCCCCCGAAAAAUGCAUAAUACUCGUAUCCACUACAUUUUAUAUGCCAUUCCAGGGAUCCUUGGGCCCCCCGAAAGCUUACCUACGGAUCCACGUUAGGGGUCCCCUGACCUAGGGCAAUCCAUUCAUUUCACAGAUGAGGCAACGGAUACCCAGAGUGCGUGGGGGGGUGAUUUGUUCAAGGUCACACAUGGUCAGUGGGGAGCAGAGUCAGGACUCGAAUCCAGCCCCCGCUGGAAUCCACCUCCCAUACUGUAACAGCUUUGCCUCCAGCACUGGAUAGCAUGGGGUCCCUAGGGAGAGAAGUCCCAAGUUAGGGCCCUUCGGAGUAUCCUUCUCUUGUCUUCUGGUAUCUAUCCUUGACAUAUACUUUUGCUCAGUGUAGCUCAGAGAGGGCAGAAAUGAUGGCACUGAAACAGACACGGACGGCGAUGGGUCGGGGAGCUGCAGGCUCUGGGUGUAAAUGCAAUGAGAAAGAUGAAGUCGAGGGAGGGAGAGAAACAGUAAGUAAACAACAUUUGAGUCCCCUGAGAGAGGGCUGGUGCUGCUCUGUUCAGUGCCCGGAGAGCUGAGCCCUCGGGAAAUGCCAGCAAAAUCACAGUGGACUGGCCCCUGCCUGAGUCUUCUUCCCAACCUACUCUCUCCCCUUCUGCCCAGCUUCGUCACCGGUGGCCCCUCGGUGGCCCAAGCCCUGUGCUUCGCAGGUGUGGUUCCUCCUGCCUGUGCAGCUGCCCUCUCACAGCACAGCAGCCCACCCACCACCACGCCAGACUCUUCCUCUGAGCCCCCAGCUGACUUAGGUCUCCUGGCACAGGUCCCUCUCAGCACCUGGGUCGUCUCUUUCAGAGCCCACAGCGUCACUGUCACUCACGGUUCUGUAUUUAUCUGUUUCAGGGCUGUGUCCCCCAACUAGCCAUUAAGCCCAGAGUGCGCAGGGGCAGGGCCCUUGGUUCCUCUGGGCCCUGGGCAUGGCCUAUGGAGGCUCUCCAGAGUUACGUGCUGAUUUCAGUGAAUGGCGGCAUCUGCUGGUUUGGACCUGGGCACUUGGGACGAAUGCCUGUGGGCCAGCUCAUUCCUGAGAUCCUGGCCAGAACUGCGUGCAGCUGGGAGCUUUAGCUUGAGGCACAAAGGGAACAGGAGCAGGCGGCCAGUACCACAAAUGGUGCCCAGCCUCUCAGAGCAGAGGCACCAGCCAAGCGGAGGCUUACAGGGACGGAGACACCAGCUGGACUCUGUGUGCCUUUGAAGUGGAUCCCGGUGCUCUGCCUUUUUCUCAAGAGCCCACCCCUUUGAACUCUGAGGGUCCCCCGGUCCCCCGCCGGCCAGCUCACCAGCUGUUGUGCUAUGGACUGUCCGCAGAGGUCAUGGGCAGAUGGCUGAGGGGGACCCCUCUCCUGAGGGCUGCAGCCCCCCAGGAAUGAAGAGGAAACUCAGAAACGGUUCUCUCCUGCCUUCUGGGCUCACCUCCAGAUGAUGGAGCUAUCUUGAGAGGGCAUAUUCAAGGGUGUUUUCUCUCAUUCCAUUUUGUUUGGGGUAGAGUGUACGCUUUUUUUUUUUUUUUUUCUUUUCAACCUGACACCCAGGACUCCAUGACUGAUGCUGUGAGCAAGGGCCGAGAGCCUUGAUCAAUUCUUCAUUCUUCUUCUUCUCAGGAGGGGAGGGGUUCGUGUGACAGAGAGGCACAAGGUGCCCCUCACAGGCUUGCUGCCUGGGGAGCAGUGGUUGGGGUAGAGGAGCUGAUACUGACUCUAGAAGGUUUCUCUUCCCACUCCCACUUCCCAGCCACUUCGGGGUGGGGGGAGGGGGUUGGAGGGCAGGCAGCCAGAGACAGGUGCAUCCACCCCUGCGAAUGGGCACCUGCCCCAUGUCCCCCUUGCUUGCUCUUAAACAUACGCCAACAGAGCAGCCCUCCCCUCCCCCCAAUCCCGGAUGAUAUCAUCAGUAUGAAAUUUUGUGUCUCCUUUUCUUGUACCAAUCAAUCACCUUUGAAGGGGGAAGAGAAACAAGCCACAAUAGGAUGCUAAGGCCUCUGAGCGAAGCUGAUUGGUGCGCCUGGGCCAGGGUCCCAUCCUGGAGCUAGCUGACUUGACUUCGUUCUCCAGCUUAUCACGCUAUGGCUUGCAGGAGAAUCCUACAGCCUCCGUGGAUGGAAAACAUCCUCGUGGCCGAGGUGACUAGUCUCUAGGCAUCACGACAGGGCCCCGCAGCCUCCCUCCCUUCCUUACUCAGCUGGUGACUCUGUCUUUGAUCGUGGCAUCAUGGCUUUAGCACUUUGUCUCUGUCUUGGAAAAGCCUUUACGUUUGCUCUGUCAUAGCUUCCCUGACCUCCCCAGGCCAGUGUAUCAAAAGAGAGUCACCAGGCUGCCAACAGUGCUCCUGCUUCCAGCCACGAUCUGGGCUAUGCCUGCAGAGACCAGCGCCAGGACCGCCUCGUUCUCUAAUGCUUCUAGGAUUAACCUUAUUUUGGACAACGGGUAUAUGGUUCGAAAUCGUACAUGAGAAAAAAAUUUACAAAUGUGCUAAGCUCAAGAGAUGGGAACAGAGGGAUGAAGGAUGUAAGAACCUAAGAAUCUCAUGGUCCCUGCACCAUCCCCAGGCCACCGAGGGGCUGGCACCGGGAGCCGGGAGUCCACCGCGGGGCGCAGCCGCAGGAGCCGGGGAAACGCCUGGGGAAGGACGGGUAUCCAGCCUCGGAGGAGCAGGAGGGACGCACGACUCAGCUGAACAAGCUCCUGUGGUUCAAGAACCAUCAGGCCAAAGGUUCUCAACAGCAGUGACAGGAACAACCACAGCAAUGCCCAGGGGAGCCCAGAACGACUUCCCCCAGACCCUUUCAGGGACCCUCUCUCACUGCCAAGACAUCUGGGCACCAAGCCGGCACAGGCUCUGCAGACGGGACUAACUCCAGCACUAAGAAUUCACUGAAUGUACAGGGAGCGUCUGACCCUGGAGUGUCUGGCGUGUGGCAGGGAUGGAGGGUGCAAUCCUUCAGCUUCAUGGACGUCACGGUUUGAAGCUGUGGCCUGAUGGUCUUCGCUGCCGCUAACGAUUCCGCAGUGCGAACAGCACACGUCUCUCUAUCUGGCCGGCUCCUGGUGGUCACACGUCUCUCUAUCCGGCCGGCUACGGGUGGUCAUGCGUCUCUCUAUCCGGCCGGCUACUGGUGGUCAUGCGUCUCAUUUUCACUUUGCAACCAUCACAAAUCAUGCUGCUUUCACGGCCGGGCUUGGGAGCAUGUUGUCAGUUCCUAGGACGAGGACUUGGAGGGGAAUUGCUGUUCGUGGGUCUGGCUUUUUGUGUUCAGCGUCAGUGGAUGCUGCCAAAGAGUGUUCCAAAGGCUUUGAGUCGCUUACCCUCCCGCCAGAGCGCCUGCUGCUCCGCGUGGACGUCUUAGGUUUUGUCGAUCUACAAUUUGACCCCCAUUAAUAAUCUGUGGCUUUCGUUGACAGUGAGGUGAUCGUGAGGUUGGGCAUAGCUCACAUGUUCACCAGGCAUUGAGAUUUCUCCUGUAAAGUGAUUUUUCGCCCAUUUUUACUUGAAUUGAUUACAAAAGCUCCCU